GACUCAUCUCAGCAGGGAUGUAGCUCCUGG
rnacentral:piRNA from 1 species